CAAAUGCCAACUUAAAGCUAUGAAAACAAGGAUCUGAGCACUAUAACUAGCCAGCCAGCCAAUAAAGGACAUGAAUCAUGGAAAUGGGUGCAAAACAUAAAUUAACCAGCACUAGCUAAUACAUGUCUACCUAUUUGGAGGACAUAAUCUAAUAAGACAGGAUCUUGCAUACUGCACAGCUAGGGGUCAAAAUGCAUCAAAUAAUUCAACUGGACAUGUCCAAAAGAGAACCUACCUUUCUUCCUGAACGAGACUUUU
rnacentral:misc_RNA from 1 species